rnacentral:rRNA from 1 species
UACAGAGGUCUCAAGCGUUGUUCGGAUUCAUUGGGCGUAAAGGGUGCGUAGGUGGCGUCGUAAGUCGGGGUGUGAAAUUUCGGAGCUUAACUCCGAAACUGCAUUCGAUACUGCGGUGCUUGAGGACUGGAGAGGAGACUGGAAUUUACGGUGUAGCAGUGAAAUGCGUAGAGAUCGUAAGGAAGACCAGUGGCGAAGGCGGGUCUCUGGACAGUUCCUGACACUGAGGCACGAAAGGUCAGGGGGAGCAAAACGGGG